CGCAUCCAAGUGGCUGCUGGUCCGGCCACCCAGGAUGCGCUGUCAGGUGGAUUGGCCUGGCCUCCUCGGCCACGUUCUUCGUCAAUUUGUAGUUGCGUUUUGAAUGGCUGCUGGUCCGGCCACUCAGGUGCCUUUCGUUGAUUUGGAUGUUGUUGCUGGCGACCCUUGUCUGACUUGUGUUGGCGUAAGAGACGUUUGCGGGAUUUGCUGGCGUCCGGCGGCUCAACACC